UGGGGAAUUUUGGACAAUGGGGGCAACCCUGAUCCAGCCAUGCCGCGUGUGUGAAGAAGGCCUUCGGGUUGUAAAGCACUUUCGGACGGAACGAAAUCGCGCGGGCGAAUACCCCGCGUGGAUGACGGUACCGUAAGAAGAAGCACCGGCUAACUACGUGCCAGCAGCCGCGGUAAUACGUAGGGUGCGAGCGUUAAUCGGAAUUACUGGGCGUAAAGUGUGCGCAGGCGGCCGAGCAAGUCGAGUGUGAAAGCCCCGAGCUUAACUUGGGAAUUGCGCUCGAAACUACUUGGCUGGAGUGUGGCAGAGGAGGGUGGAAUUCCACGUGUAGCGGUGAAAUGCGUAGAGAUGUGGAGGAACACCGAUGGCGAAGGCAGCCCCCUGGGCUAACACUGACGCUCAUGCACGAAAGCGUGGGGAGCAAACAGGAUUAGAUACCCCCGUAGUCCCUGAGCGGGCUGGCAAGGCGCAU
rnacentral:rRNA from 1 species